UUUCAAUGAAGAUAACUUCAGUUCUGCUACUGAAUGACAGUGAUGAAAAUGAAGACCCCCCCCCUUGCGCUGUUAA
rnacentral:snoRNA from 1 species